rnacentral:rRNA from 1 species
GACGAACGCUGGCGGCGUGCCUAAUACAUGCAAGUUGAGCGCUGAAGGUUGGUACUUGUACCACCUGGAUGAGCAGCGAACGGGUGAGUAACGCGUGGGGAAUCUGCCUUUGAGCGGGGGACAACAUCUGGAAACGAAUGCUAAUACCGCAUAAAAACUUUAAACACAAGUUUUAAGUUUGAAAGAUGCAAUUGCAUCACUCAAAGAUGAUCCCGCGUUGUAUUAGCUAGUUGGUAAGGUAAAGGCCCACCAAGGCAAUGAUUCAUAGCCGACCUGAGAGGUUGUUCGGCCACAUUGGACCUGAGACACGCCCCAGACUCCUCCGGAGGCAGCAGUAAGGAAUCUUCGGCCAUGGACGAAAGUCUGACCGAGCCACGCCGCGUGGGUGAAGGAGGUUCUCGGAUCGUAAAACCCUGUUGGUAGGGAAGAACGAUGGUGGGAGUGGAAAGCUCAUAACGUGACGGUACCUACCCAGAAAGGGACGGCUAACUACGUG